rnacentral:rRNA from 1 species
AGAGUUUGAUCAUGGCUCAGGACGAACGCUGGCGGCGUGCCUAAUACAUGCAAGUCGAGCGAAUCUUUAGGAGCUUGCUCCUAUUGGUUAGCGGCGGACGGGUGAGUAACACGUGGGCAACCUACCUAUAAGACUGGGAUAACUUCGGGAAACCGUAGCUAAUACCGGAUAAUCCUUUUCCUCUCAUGAGGAAAAGCUGAAAGACGGUUUACGCUGUCACUUAUGGAUGGGCCCGCGGCGCAUUAGCUAGUUGGUGAGGUAACGGCUCACCAAGGCAACGAUGCGUAGCCGACCUGAGAGGGUGAUCGGCCACACUGGGACUGAGACACGGCCCAGACUCCUACGGGAGGCAGCAGUAGGGAAUCUUCCACAAUGGACGAAAGUCUGAUGGAGCAACGCCGCGUGAGCGAUGAAGGCCUUCGGGUCGUAAAGCUCUGUUGUUAGGGAAGAACAAGUACCGGAGUAACUGCCGGUACCAUGACGGUACCUAACCAGAAAGCCACGGCUAACUACGUGCCAGCAGCCGCGGUAAUACGUAGGUGGCAAGCGUUGUCCGGAAUUAUUGGGCGUAAAGCGCGCGCAGGCGGUCCUUUAAGUCUGAUGUGAAAGCCCACGGCUCAACCGUGGAGGGUCAUUGGAAACUGGGGGACUUGAGUGCAGAAGAGGAAAGCGGAAUUCCACGUGUAGCGGUGAAAUGCGUAGAGAUGUGGAGGAACACCAGUGGCGAAGGCGGCUUUCUGGACUGUAACUGACGCUGAGGCAUGAGAGCAUGGGGAGCAAACAGGAUUAGAUACCCUGGUAGUCC